rnacentral:rRNA from 1 species
CCGGGGAUUACCCUUUGGAAAGAAAGAUUUAUUCCCGGAUGGGUUAAAGGAAGGCGCAGGUUUUAUUGUUAAAGAUUUUAUGGUAUAUUGUGGGGAUGCGUUCCCUUAAGAUUGUGGGUAGGGUAACGCCUUACCAAGUCAGCGAUGGAUUAGGGUUCUGAGAGGAAGACCCCUUACAUUGGAACUGAGACACGGUCCAAACUCCUACGGGAGGCAGCAGUGAGGAAUAUUUGUCAAUGGACGGGAGUCUGAACCAGCCAAGUAGCGUGAAGGAUGAAGGCUCUAUGGGUCGUAAACUUCUUUUAUACGGGAAUAAAGUGAACCACGUGUGGUUUUUUGUAUGUACCGUAUGAAUAAGGAUCGGCUAACUCCGUGCCAGCAGCCGCGGUAAUACGGAGGAUCCGAGCGUUAUCCGGAUUUAUUGGGUUUAAAGGGAGCGUAGGCGGGUACUUAAGUCAGUUGUGAAAGUUUACGGCUCAACCGUGAAAUUGCAGUUGAUACUGGGUGCCUUGAGUGCAGUAGAGGUAAGCGGAAUUCGUGGUGUAGCGGUGAAAUGCUUAGAUAUCACGAAGAACUCCAAUUGCGAAGGCAGCUUGCUGGACUGUAACUGACGCUGAUGCUCGAAAGUGUGGGUAUCAAACAGGAUUAGAUACCCUGGUAGUCCACACAGUAAACUAUGAAUACUCGCUGUUGGCGGUACACAGUCAGCGGCCAAGCGAAAGCGU